rnacentral:rRNA from 1 species
UACAGGGGGUGCAACCGUUGCUCGGAUUCAUUGGGCGUAAAGGGUGCGUAGGUGGCAUGGUAAGUCGGAUGUGAAAUCCCGGGGCUCAACCCCGGAACUGCAUUCGAUACUGCUGCGCUAGAGUACUGGAGAGGAGAUUGGAAUUUACGGUGUAGCAGUGAAAUGCGUAGAUAUCGUAAGGAAGACCAGUGGCGAAGGCGGAUCUCUGGACAGUUACUGACACUGAGGCACGAAGGCCAGGGGAGCAAACGGG